rnacentral:lncRNA from 1 species
AUGCUUAAUAAAUGUUACAAAUCAUUACCAAUGCAGAUUCAGUUGCUCAGUCAUAUACAUAACUCAAAUGAAAAUCAGUUACCUUAUAGUGCUCUCCGUUGCUUCCAGCUUUCCAGACUUGAUUCUCAGGGAUUGGGAGACAUGGUACAGUACUUUCUGAGCAGUGUUCCUUGCUUAGGAAUUUCCUUUCCCUGCUGGUUUGACAAUAAAUGGAUUGGUGAACCUUUAGAAGGAUUCAUUUCUACACCCUUGUUUACCUUGGAGCAUCUCCUCUCCUGGAGCUUCUGAACCACUCUGGGCCUCAGAUUCCCAAUCUAUAAAAUGAGAGUCUUGGACUAGAUCUCAGGGACCCACUCCAGCUCUGAAGUCCUGUGAAGAUGUCAGUGUCCUGUGAGAAAACUAGACACAUAAAAUAUGGAUAUUUUCCUGAGCCACUGUAGGCAUAACUAUAACCAGCUCUGCAAAGAACCUGAAAACGGAUUGAAGUAGCUGCGUUUUAAAAUCAGUGAACACAGUAUGAAGUGGACACAGCGGAAGACCAAGUCAGGAAACUUGAUUUCUGCUUUUAUGACUCAUGGUGAGAGUUUGGAGAAGUCACACGACCCCCUCGUGUACAUUUCCUUUUAAGUCAAAUGGGCUUCAUAUAACCUACAUACUUCUCUCUAAGAAAUGUUCCCAUUGAUGUGUACAUGAGCAAAUAUUGUAACGCAAAAAUUUUAACAGUAGUUUGUAUAUUUAUAGAUUGAAACAAAAAUGCUGUCAUUGAAAGAAUUCUUUCCUUGGAGAAUAUUUAUGGCGCCUAAUUUUUAGGGCGGCCCAUUUUUCUUCGAUCUCAUCAUCUCCUCUUAAAACAAAUAAAGAGACUUCCCUGGUGGUCCAGUGGCUAAGACUCUGAACUCCCAACACAGGGGACCUGGGUUCCAUCCCUGGUUUGAGAACAAGAUCCAUAUGUUACAAUUGAGACCUGGCACAGCCAAAUAAAUCAAUUUUUUUUAAAAAAUAGUGAAUAUGGCAUAGUAAAAAAUAAAAUAAGCAUGAAAAUAAAAGCAUAAUGAAAUCAUGAUCAAUGUAAACAAAGCUAAGAAGAACAUAAAAAAGUCAACAAAAUAUUUUCCUUGCAAAUUUGGCCUUGUAAAAAAUCGAUGUUAAUUAUAAAAAAUGGUUAAACAUAUUUCUAGUUGACCCUUCCUCCCCCACUUCUCUAUUGAUUUCACUGUUAAGUUGUCUUAUCUUUCUGGUCAGAUCUCAGAAACCAGAGGCCAAGCGAUCGCAUCUAAUUUCUCCUUUGUAACAUUUCACUGCCUGUAAAAAUGCAGUUACUAGUAUUUACUCAGGAAAUACUGAUGUCAUUUGUUGUCUUGUGAUGGAAGAGGUGUAACUAUUAAAUAAAAAUGUAACAAUAAACAUUUUACAGUCCAGGUAGACUUUUUUGUGGGUCUAAUGAUUUCUGAGAAGGAAAUGGCAACCCACUCCAGUGUUCUUGCCUGGAGAAUCCC